UACAGAGGAUGCAAGCGUUAUCCGGAAUGAUUGGGCGUAAAGCGUCUGUAGGUGGCUUUUUAAGUCCGCCGUCAAAUCCCAGGGCUCAACUCUGGACAGGCGGUGGAAACUACCAAGCUGGAAUACGGUAGGGGCAGAGGGAAUUUCCGGUGGAGCGGUGAAAUGCGUAGAGAUCGGAAAGAACACCAACGGCGAAGGCACUCUGCUGGGCCGACACUGACGCUGAGAGACGAAAGCUAGGGGAGCGAAUGGG
rnacentral:rRNA from 1 species